rnacentral:lncRNA from 1 species
AAUCAUUCUUGGGAGGCCAUUCUUAGCAACUGCUAGAGCUUUGAUUGAUGUUGAAAAAGGUGAGCUCACUUUGAGAUUUCAAGACCAAAAGGUAACAUUUAAUAUUUUCAAAGCUUUAAAAUUGCCUAUGACAUCUGAAGACUGUUUUUCUGUGAGUGUAGUGAAUAACUUGACUCAUGAUGUUUUCUUAGAAGAAAUUCCCAAUGAUCCUCUUUAAGCAUGUUUAUUUGCUAACUUUGAUAAGGAUGAUGAUGAGUUCAUUGAAUAUUCAAACUUGUUGAAUGAUCACUCCAAAUUUAAAACUAAUCAUCAAUUUGAGUCUUUAGAUAUUUCAGCUUCUUUGAUGCCAACUUCUAAGCCUUCUAUUGAGGAGCCACCUACUUUGAAACUCAAACCUCUGCCUGCACACUUGAGAUAUUCUUUUCUUGGAAAAUCUUCUACUAUUCCGGUUAUUAUUUCUGCUGCUCUUACUAACAUGCAAGAGAAAAAGUUGUUGAGAACACUUAAAGAAUUCAAGAAAGUAAUAGGAUGGACCAUAGCUGAUAUUAAGGGAAUUAGCCCUUCUAUUUGCAUGCAUAAAAUUCUUCUUGAAGAAAAUCACAAAGCCACAAUUGAACAACAAAGAAGAUUGAACCCUAUCAUGAAGGAAGUGGUCAAGAAUGAAAUCAUUAAGUGGUUGAAUGCUAGAAUAAUUUAUCCUAUCUCUGAUAGCUCAUAGGUAAGUCUAGUUCAAUGUGUGCCUAAGAAAGGAGGAAUGAUUGUGGUGGCCAAUGACAAUAAUGAGCACAUUCCAACAAGAACUGUGACUGGAUGGAGAGUGUGCAUGGACUACCGCAAGCUCAAUAAGGCUACAAGGAAAGAUCAUUUUCCUUUUCCUUUCAUUGAUCAAAUGUUGGAUCGCUUGGCUAGUAAGGAAUACUAUUAUUUUCUAGAUGGUUAUUCUGGUUAUAACCAAAUUGCUAUUGCUCCUGAAGAUCAAGAAAAGACUACAUUUGUCACGAUCCGUAACUCUCAUCGGGCCCAUGACAACAGCUGCGACAUCCUGAUAGGCACUCAUUACCUUGAAUGCCGAUCGAAACCCCGCAAGGCUUACAUCAGCUUCCGCAUCUCCCCGGUGAGCGACAAUUAUUAAAUCUCGUAUUUCAAGAAAUCAUAAGUCGUUUCCAAAUCAAAAUAAUAAAAUAUUGUUUUCUAGUUCACAGGGGCAUUUUCGUCAUUUUUUUUAAAAUAUCGAAACUUGCCAAAAACAUGGUGUAAAAGCUAAAUAUGUUCAUACAUACUUUAAAUCAGAUAACUGAAGUAUAAAAUUACUUUUACAGUGACACGUGGGCCCCCAACUAACCAAAAUGUAUGAAAAGCUGAAAACCUACAGCUUUUGCCUAUUCAAGUCCAAAUGAAAGGUUCUUGUCAAAGUCAGCUAACUAUGAAAUUCCUUGAGCCUGAAAUGUGAGGAAAGGAGGGUGGUGAGAUUAUAAAAUUCUAGUGAGUAAAUAGACACCAUCUAAACUAUUUAAAGGCGAGUAAAUGGAGACAAAUUAAAAUAUUCUUUUCCAAUAUAUGUUUCAUAACAUGAAUAUUCAGUUUACUCAAUUAAUUAAUAUGGCUUAUAUAUCUCACAAAACUUGGCUCCUGCCAAAAUCAUUCUCGCGGGUACCUUCGUCAAGGUAUCCCACUGAGACCGCCAAGGCUGUUAAAGUCCCAUACCCAUAAACAUGUUUUCGCAUCUGACAUACAACCGUUCCUUGGCGUUGGCUGAGUAUCACUCUCACGCGGUGGUCCACGUGAAGUGCACUCAAAUCUUCACCUCAGGAGAUACUUCAUCCAACAUCUCCCCCGGGAGGUAAAUAUAUAACUGAGUUACCGUGCCCCUCUCAUAGGCAGUUCACGGAAACCCCCACCAUUGCAGUGACUAUGGAUUAUUUUAUCUACCACCUGAUUUAUAAAAUCUUUAUCUGCAUGACAUGGCAAUUUAUCGCAGUCUAGCCUCUCAAGGCUGAAUACAUAGUAUAUAUAAUUUUGAUACAAAUACCGACUUUGCCAUUCAUGCUCACGUAUUGCUAUAAGCCAUAUAAUUUAAAACACAAUUUAUAACACAAACAGAUAGUCUCCAAUUACUCUAUUUUCAAAACCAGUAUUCAAUUUUUCAGAAAAUUUAUAAAAUCAUUUUAUAAAAUCAGAAUUUCUCCUAAAACAUCGCAAUUUACCAUUUAAACCCAUUUUCUAUAAAAUCACACAAUUGAAUAAAACUACUCUAGAUAAUUAAGACGAUAAUAAGUUUACUCAUAGUUCUAGGAGUCAAUGUACUCCUAAUCCCAAUCUCCAAGCACAAUCUCUGUACUUUUACCAGUGUAAUUUACUCACCACCUAUCCACAAUGUACAAUACAUAAUUCACCACAUCAAUGCUUGACUAUUAUAAAAUCAAUUCAGGCUCGGUGUAUAUGCAUGAUAUGAUAUGCAACUUAUCCGACUACCGCUUAAAUGCGGUGUUGACUUAAUUCGGCCUAUUACUUGAUUAAAUGACAAUUGUGUCCGAUUUGGCUCCAAAUCGCUCCAUUUCAUUUCUAAUAUUUCAAUUCACUAAAUACAAUUCCAAUAAUCUAAAAUUCAGCCUAACAACCCUCACAAUUCUUUUUGAAAAUUUCGGCCAUUGUGGUGCACUAUCACUAAAAAUUUUUUCAUUUCAUUUUCUCACCAUAAAUCAUCAUUUCAUCAAUUUUUCAACCAAUUCACUUGAUCACAAAAUCAAUUCAUUACUUCUACACUUCACAUAGGGUUCGACCAUUGAAGGUUCAUGGGGAAAAGGGAUUCUUUUCUUGUUGUUUUGUUUCUAAACAUGCUUAACUAACUAAAAACACUAACAUAACUUAGAAUCAAAUCAAUCUAACAUCAUUCUCUCUCCAUACCCAUUCCAACCAGCCAUGAAUUCAUCAUGAAAACAUGUAAUUUAACAAUGGAAAUUAAGGGAAAAUGCAUGGGUAAGGUAAAUCACUAGCAAAAUCAAAGAAAUUUUACCUUUGCUUGAUCAAAUCCUUGAAUUCCAACACUUUCUCUUUGAUUUUUUCCACCUAGGGUUUGUUCUUCCUUGGUUUCUCUUAUUUUCUGGUUUGGUU